GAACAAUGUCUUCAGCAUAGACACCGCAGUAGAGGAUUAUAAUGUUACUUUAUAGUUUUAUCAUCUAGACAUCUACAUCUCAGAUGUUAGCUUUAAAGUUACUUUUCUUCACUAGAGUGAGAUGGUGUAAAAUUGUCCCCUUAAUCUUCCAUUGAGGAGAUUGAAAGUGAAAUUGCAGUACAAACAGUUCUUUUAAUUUCCUGUUGUCUGGUGAGAGCGAAAACAUGAAAAUAUCAAUGUGAUAUCUUCCUAGUACUUUUGCAUUUUCCUUAUGAUAUUAUCAAUUAAUUUUGUUCUUUUAAAAAAAAAAAAAUUAGGUUCCUCUUACUAUUUAAACUGUGGAUUUUGGACAGUCCAGUAUGGUUUCUCCUCUUUCUGCCCAUCAGCAACAGCUUUCUACAUUGUCCCAACAACAUCAGGUCCUCACGGCAGCUGCAGUGAAGUCUGGUGGUAUAUCCCAAACCUUUCCUGUCAAUGUGCAUAAAUUCAGUCCCAACGGUAUUCAUUUAUGCAGUCAGAAUUGGGGAAGCACCAGCCAUCAAUUUCCUGGAAUGAUAAUGCCAACCAAUAAUCUACCAAAGUAUAUUCAGAUUGGAAGCAACCAGCACAUGUAUCCAGCAGGGAACUCAGUUAAUUUUCCAGUAUCAAGCAUGCAUAGCUCAGGACCAGUAGCUCCUAUUAAUGGUGCGACAAAUAUCAGAUCAAAUAUGCCUCCUCCAGCAUUCCCAGCCAUGCCAACUCAACCUCCAGGAUACUAUGAUUUCUCCUCAUUAACACAAGGGAUGUUUACAAAACGAUGACCAGUUGCCUUAUCCCAUUAUAUAGAUUUGUUAAAUCACAAGAAAAUUUGGCUUAUAUUGCUUCUGGGGUUGCUGCUUUUGUUUCAUUCAUUUGUAUUGAUAUCAUUAUUUGAUAUAAUAAAGUUGUUUCCACAUUAAUUUAGCAUGAUUUGUUUACUGAUCCCCUUUUAUACAAACAAAAAAGUUACUCUAAUCCAUGAAAUUAAAG
rnacentral:misc_RNA from 1 species